rnacentral:rRNA from 1 species
UAACACAUGCAAGUCGAACGGAGGUGUAGCAAUACACUUUAGUGGCAAACGGGUGAGUAAUGUAUGGGAAUCUACCCAUUGGAGAGGGAUAUAUAUUGGAAACGAUAAGCAAUACCUCGUAAGCUCGAGAGAGGAAAGCAGAAAUGCGCCAAUGGAUGAGCCCAUAUCAGAUUGUAGUUGGUGGGGUAAUGGCCCACCAAGCAUUGAUCUGUAACUGGUCUGAGAGGACGACCAGUCACACUGGAACUGAGAUACGGUCCAGACUUCUACGGAAGGCAGCAGUGGGGAAUUUUGGGCAAUGGGGGAAACCCUGACCCAGGUAUACCUCGUGAAUGAAGAAGGCCUUAGGGUUGUAAAGUUCUUUUACUAGGGAGCAUAUUGAGAGUACCUAGAGAAUAAGCACCGGCUAACUCUGUGCCAGCAGCCGCGGUAAUACAGAGGGUGCAAGCGUUGUUCGGAAUGACUGGGCGUAAAGGGCAGGUAGAUGGUCCUGUAAGUUAGUAGUGAAAUCCAAAAGCUUAACUUUUGUGCUGCUAUUAAGACUGCGGGAAUAGAGGAAAAAAGAGGAAAAUGGAUUUCUAGUGGAGAGGUAAAUUCGUAGAUAUUAGAAGGAAC